rnacentral:rRNA from 1 species
UACGAAGGGGGCUAGCGUUAUCCGGAUUUAUUGGGUUUAAAGGGUGCGUAGGCGGCCUGUUAAGUCAGGGGUGAAAGACGGUAGCUCAACUAUCGCAGUGCCCUUGAUACUGAUGGGCUUGAAUGUACUAGAGGUAGGCGGAAUGUGACAAGUAGCAGUGAAAUGCGUAGAUAUGUGGAGGAACACCGAUGGCGAAGGCAGCUUACUAUGGUUUUAUUGACGCUGAGGCACGAAAGCGUGGGGAUCAAACAGG